rnacentral:lncRNA from 1 species
UGUGUAUGUGUAAAGUGUGCAGAGUAUGUACCUGAAUCGUGGAGUGGUGUAGUCGAAGUGCAUUUGGUGUGUCGAGGGAUCUCCCCCAUACUUGUUUUCUGCUUUCUUGCAUAAAAGUAAAGUAGAGACACACAAGACAUAAUAAUAAUAAUAAUCUUUAUUAAUCUUGAGGCAUUUAUUACAAAUGACUAGUAAUGAACUGAAGCUAAUAAUAGAUCUAAACUGAAUUUAAAGAUAAAUAACUAUGAUGCACUGCCUCAAGAUCUAAUCUAGAUAACUUAGCGGCGCUCUAACUCCCUGAUCUUCUUAUUUGCACUAGCG